CACUGACCCAGCGGCUGGAGGACCUGGAGGCCCCUCUGUCCCCUCUCAGUAACGGUGGCAGCCCGCACCACUCCCGGACCAAGCAUCUGUCCAAAUCAGGCCCAGCCCCGCGGAGCCCCAUGAGAAGCAGUCCACGCUCCAGUCCGCUGCUAGUGCCUGCCGGCCCGCAGAACACGAGCAGCCACAUGAGGGCGCUCUCACGCAGCCUUCACUGCAGCCCCGUAAGAGCGCCCUCCUCUUCUUCCUCAUGCUCGUCUUUUUCUGCCUCAAAUGAACCCGAGUCCUCUACGUCCACGCAGAGUCUAGCAUCUGUCAGUCUUGUGCGCGACACUACUUUCGUUCGUAGUUACGGGUCAGGUUCGUCUCGCUCGUUAGAUGACUCUAGUGGAGGGUUGGGACCAUUUGCUAUCCAAUCACGACAGCCCAAAGUUAACGAAUCACAGGGAAAUAGCCUGAAAGUGUCAGCGCCGCUGCGCAGUAACACGUUUAUUAAAACACGUCGCGCAUCUGCACCAGUGAGCAAAGGCGGUUCACGUUCUGUCGAAACCCUUGAUACACAAUUAGGUAGAACUGAUGGAUCAGAGAAAAGACGUAAAGUUACAAUGCAGGAGAAUGAUUUAAAACCUUCCAAAAAGUCUAAUGCAGAACGUGCGUUUCUCAAAAAGCAGUCUAACAUCUCUAAAUCUCGAUCUGAUGAGGGAACUUCUUUUAGUCAUUUUGCAUGUUCAAAUACAGUGUCUACGACGCAAUCUAAAUUUUUCCCUAGGGCAACAUCGAGUGUAACAUCUUCUAGUGAUCAGUCCACUCCAUACAGUCCAUCAGAUAAACACCAGAAAUCGUCCUGUAGGACAAAAGCAUCCUCUAGGUUAGUGAGCCAUUCAGACUCGUGUCAGGAUUUUGUUGAGGAAAUUGUGUCUAAUCCUAGUCGUGAGAUUAAGGGGAAACAAGGUCAACUCCGAAAACAGCAAAGAAGUGUUGAUGCAGCGAAAAGGUCAACACACACUUACACACGCCAGACAAAGUUCAGAGCCACAUAACUGCUCAGUUGUUGACCAUCACAUAAGUAAAAGAAUUUUACCACCAAAUCUGAUAAAGCAAUUUUAAAAAAAANNNNNNNNNNNNNNN
rnacentral:lncRNA from 1 species